GGAUGUCCUCUGCUGUGAGACUUGCGGAAGCAUAACAACCGCCUCUCCGGGAUCGUGUCCAAACGGAGAUAAUCCAUAUUAUACAGUCAAUGGGAUGAACUGUUCUGCAGCUGCAUUGAGUCAAAGUUGGGUUUGCUAUGAUGCAUCAAUUCAUGAAAACUGUUGUGAAUCAUGUCCUACGGUUAACACUGGAAUAACAGGAUGUGAAUUUGGAGAUAGGAGCACCGCUUGCGAUGAAGCUAAUUGUCCGUUUUAUGAUGCAACGUCACGUGAUGUAACGUGUUGUUUAACAUGUAAUCCACAAACCACAACUCUUUCUCCAACAACCACUCCUCUUACAACAACGACCACAACCCUACCUAUAACUACCACAACUCCUACAACAACUACCACAACCCUUCCUCAAACUACAACUACUGCUUCAACAACGACUACAACCCUUCUUCC